CGCGUAUACAAUCUACCUUAUACUGGGGGAUAGCCUUCAGAAAUGAAGAUUACUCCCCCAUACUCUCUUAGAAUCGCAUCAAUUGUAGCAUAAAGGCUACGGUAUAAGAGGAGUAUGCGUUCUAUUAGGUUGGUGGUGUGGUAAAGGCACACCAAGAGUACGAUAGAUAGGGGCCGGAGAGGGGGAUCCCCCACACUGGUAUUGAGACACGGACCAGACUCCUACGGGAGGCAGCAGUGAGGAAUAUUGGACAAUGGAGGCAAUUUUGAUCCAGCCAUGCCGCGUGUAGGAGGACUGCCCUAUGGGUUGUAAACUACUUUCGCACAGGAAG
rnacentral:rRNA from 1 species